UGAAGAAAUGAAAGUGCGCAAAAUUAAGUAUUUUAAUUAAAAGUAAAGCGAGCUUUUUAGUGAAAUGCAGAUUGAAGUUUUCAUUGACAACAAGAACAAAAAUUGUUAACACAUAUGGUAACUUCGCAGGCCUUGACGCUGACAUGUUGGAAGUUCUGAUUGACUCCAUCUACACAUUCCUGGAACAUUGUGAAGUCGAAAAUAUCUUAAUGUUGACAAACGAGAGCAGCAUUCCUUUUACUAGAAUUGGAUGUCUUUGGCGAGGGAACACAAUCGUGAAAGUGAUUUGGACAAGCUUUUCACACAUGCGCUCACAAGGUUUCAUUACACUUUGGGUUGAUGCACGCGUAAAACCCACUUUCCGGCUUUGACAGAUAAGAACCUCCGUUUGACGUAUCGUCAUCCCAUGCCCGGAACCACUAACUCUUCACACUCGCUUAUAUGCCGCACGCUGGUUGCCGACAAAUAUUACACGCAAUCAAUGCGCAUAUGAAUAAGCUGCGCUUCGUUAUUCAUUACAAAUG